UACGAAGGGGGCUAGCGUUGUUCGGAAUUACUGGGCGUAAAGCGCACGUAGGCGGAUAUUUAAGUCGGGGGUGAAAUCCUGGAGCUCAACUCCAGAACUGCCUUCGAUACUGGGAAACUUGAGUCCGGGAGAGGUGAGUGGAAUUCCCAGUGUAGAGGUGAAAUUCGUAGAUAUCGGGAGGAACACCAGUGGCGAAGGCGGCGACCUGGGCCAAUAUUGACG
rnacentral:rRNA from 1 species